UCUCCAGACUCCUACGGGAGGCAGCAGUGAGGAAUAUUGGUCAAUGGCCGAGAGGCUGAACCAGCCAAGUCGCGUGAGGGAAGACGGCCCUACGGGUUGUAAACCUCUUUUGUCGGGGAGCAAAGCGAGUCACGUGUGACUCAUUGAGAGUACCCGAAGAAAAAGCAUCGGCUAACUCCGUGCCAGCAGCCGCGGUCAUACGUAGGAUCCGAGCAUUAUCCGGAGUGACUGGGUGUAAAGAGUUGCGUAGGUGGCAUAAUAAGUAGCUAGUGAAAUCUGGUGGCUCAACCAUUCAGACUAUUAGCUAAACUGUUAAGCUCGAGACCGUUAGGGGUAACUGGAAUUUCUAGUGUAGGAGUGAAAUCCGUAGAUAUUAGAAGGAACACCAAUAGCGUAGGCAGGUUACUGGGACGGUUCUGACACUAAGGCACGAAAGCGUAGGGAGCAAACGGGAUUAGAUACCCGAGUA
rnacentral:rRNA from 1 species